GGCCUCGUAGUAUAACGGCCAGUACAACAGUCUCAUGUAAGAGUCACCUCAAAGCAAACUGGGAAUAGGAGUUCGAUUCUCCUAGAAGCCA